GAAGACCAUCAAAUCUGGAGGAGCUUGAGAGAUUUGCCAAAGAAGAAUGGGGUGGGAUGCCUCAGGAGACAUGUCUGAGACUUGUUGAAAACUACAACAAAUGACUGCAGGCUGUUAUCUAACCAAAAGGACACACAACUGACUAUUAGCUUCAGUGGGGCUAAUAAUUUUGAAAUAAUUUUGUUUCUC